CCGGGAGCCGUCCCCCAGGAAGAUCCCCACCACCAGCUCCUUCCUGUCCCCAUGGUGUCCCCUCACUCCUUCCUUCUGGAUGGGGGCCAGAGGGCAAAGGAGGGUAUAAAGGCGACCUGGAGGGACCCAGGCACAAGCAGACGCCAGCGAAGACUCUCCCGGCCAGAUCCCUGGGAUGCGCCAGCCAGAGGCCAUGCUGCUGCUGCUCACCCUGGCCCUCCUGGGGGGCCCCACCUGGGCAGGGAGUAAGUCCGCGGGGUCUGCGCCCAAUCUCCCCUGCCUCCCUCCAGACUCACUCUGGUCACAGAACCAUCCUGUCUGGCUAGAGGGGCGGGUCCCCUGUUCUGGCAGAGGUCGCCCCCAUAUCACGGCAUGGGGAUUUUCUCCCCCUUGGUUCUCUCUUCCCUGCAGAGAUGUAUGGUCCUGGAGGAGGGAAGUAUUUCAGCACCACGGAAGACUACGACCACGACAUCACAGGGCUGCGGGUGUCUUCGGCUCUUAUGGUGAAAAGUGUCCAGGUGAGACUUGGCGACUCCUGGGAUGUUAAACAGGGCGCCUCAGGUGGGCAGACCCAGGAAGUCAUCCUGGAGCAAGGCGAAUACAUCAUAAAAGUCGUUGGCGCCUUCAAAGUUUUCCUGCAGGGUAUGGCCCUGUGCACCAACAAAGGCCGCUGUUUCUAUUUUGGGAAG
rnacentral:lncRNA from 1 species